rnacentral:rRNA from 1 species
AGUGAACGCUGGCGGUAGGCCUAACACAUGCAAGUCGAACGGCAGCACAGUAAGAGCUUGCUCUUACGGGUGGCGAGUGGCGGACGGGUGAGGAAUACAUCGGAAUCUACUUUUUCGUGGGGGAUAACGUAGGGAAACUUACGCUAAUACCGCAUACGACCUACGGGUGAAAGCAGGGGAACUUCGGACCUUGCGCGAUUGAUUGAGCCGAUGUCGGAUUAGCUAGUUGGCGGGGUAAAGGCCCACCAAGGCGACGAUCCGUAGCUGGUCUGAGAGGAUGAUCAGCCACCCUGGAACUGAGACACGGUCCAGCCUCCUACGGGAGGCAGCAGUGGGGAAUAUUGGACAAUGGGCGCAAGCCUGAUCCAGCCAUACCGCGUGGGUGAAGAAGGCCUUCGGGUUGUAAAGCCCUUUUGUUGGGAAAGAAAAGCAGCAGGUUAAUACCCCGCUGUUCUGACGGUACCCAAAGAAUAAGCACCGGCUAACUUCGUG